rfam:Pan troglodytes isolate Yerkes chimp pedigree #C0471 (Clint) chromosome Y, whole genome shotgun sequence.
GGGGGAGUAUGGUUGCAAAGCUGAAACAAAGGACUUGAUGGAAGGGCACCACCAGACUGGAGGCUGCAGCUUAAUUUGACUCAACAUGGGAAACCUCGCCUGGACACGGACAGGAUUGACAGAUAGCUCUUUCUCGAUUCUGUGGGUGGUGGUUCAUGGCUGUUCUUAGUUGGAGCGAUUUGUCUGGUUAAUUCCGAAAACGAAUGAGACUCUGGCAUGCUAAUUAGUUACAUGACCCCUAAGCGGUCGGUGUCCCCCAACUUCUCAGAGGGACAAGUGGCAUUCAGCCCCCCGAGACUGAGCAAUAACAGGUCUGUGAUGCCCUUAGAUGUCCGGGUCUGCACGUGUGCUACACUGACUGGCUCAGUGUGUGCCUACCCUAUGCUGGCAGGUGCGGGUAACCCAUUGAACCCCAUUCAUGAUGGGGAUUGGGGAUUGCAAUUAUUCCCCAUGAAGGAGGAAUUCCCAGGAAGUGCCGGUCAUAAGCUUGCAUUGAUUAAGUCCCUGCCCUUUGCACACACCACCCAUCGCUACUACCAAUUGGAUGGUUUAGUGAGUACCUUGGAUUGGCCCCGCCGGGGUCAGCCCAUGGCCCUGGCAGAGCACUGAGAAGACGGUCGAACUUUAUCUAGAAGGAAGUAAAAGUCAUAACAAGGUUUCUGUAGGUGAACCUGCAGAAG